CAUCCUUUUGAAAGGCAAGAGAGUGAAGCCUUUAGCAUGAGUCAACUUCACCUGGGUUUCUGUGAGGCAGACGAGAGAAUUGAAGGAGGCCGGUUUAUAAUCUGUGUCAUUGCCAAACAUACUGGCCUUUCAGUAACCUUCACAUAUGAACAUUCUAUCAUUAAUGAGGUUAAAGAGAUCAGAGGAUUUGAUUCUGAUUCAAUAACCCUCAUCGAUACCCUUAAAUCACAAGGGUUAUGCAAAUAUUACAACUAUCACCUUUUUUUAGUUCAACAGAUCACAUUGAUGUGCGAUUGCUAAGUAAAUGUUUUGUAAGCUAAACUGACUUUUACACACACAGCCUACAUUGAGCCAUACUGGAAAUGCAUCUCCCGAGGAGAAGGACUGUGAGUCCAGAGGGAGUCAUUCCAUCAACACCAGCUACAGUGUUUAUUGUAUUUCAGGUCACACCUGUAGUCAAAUCCAUGAAGUACAAAGCUGUGUCUCUACCCUGUUCAACUUGUAUAUGGUCUAGUUGUUAUCUACAAAGCUGUGUCUCUACCCUGUUCAACUUGUAUAUGGUCUAGUUGUUAUCUACAAAGCUGUGUCUCUACCCUGUUCAACUUGUAUAUGGUCUAGUUGUUAUCUACAAAGCUGUGUCUCUACCCUGUUCAACUUGUAUAUGGUCUAGGUGUUAUCUACAAAGCUGUGUCUCUACCCUGUUCAACUUGUAUAUGGUCUAGGUGUUAUCUACAAAGCUGUGUCUCUACCCUGUCCAACUUGUAUAUGGUCUAGGUGUUAUCUACAAAGCUGUGUCUCUACCCUGUUCAACUUGUAUAUGGUCUAGUUGUUAUCUACAAAGCUGUGUCUCUACCCUGUUCAACUUGUAUAUGGUCUAGGUGUUAUCUACAAAGCUGUGUCUCUACCCUGUUCAACUUGUAUAUGGUCUAGGUGUUAUCUACAAAGCUGUGUCUCUACCCUGUCCAACUUGUAUAUGGUCUAGUUGUUAUCUACAAAGCUGUGUCUCUACCCUGUUCAACUUGUAUAUGGUCUAGGUGUUAUCUACAAAGCUGUGUCUCUACCCUGUUCAACUUGUAUAUGGUCUAGUUGUUAUCUACAAAGCUGUGUCUCUACCCUGUUCAACUUGUAUAUGGUCUAGUUGUUAUCUACAAAGCUGUCUCUACCCUGUUCAACUUGUAUAUGGUCUAGUUGUUAUCUACAAAGCUGUGUCUCUACCCUGUCCAACUUGUAUAUG